UGAGUACUCCCUCCAUCCGGAAAUACUUGUCCUUGAAAUGGUUGUAUCUAGACUUAUUUUAGUUAUAGAUACAUCUAUUUUAUCCAUUUCUAGGACAAGUAUUUCCGGACGGAGGGAGUAUGAU
rnacentral:pre_miRNA from 1 species